ACCUCUAUACGUUUAUGAUGAACCUCCAUCUUAAUGUCCUCUCUAAACUCGGUUGUCUACUUGUUACCAAAAACAAAAAAUCUGGACUAGUUUGCUGAAAACCUAAGUCAAAUUACGAUGACCCCAUUUAGUUGCAUCAGUCCUGCUCUAUGAUUUUUCUGAAAAUUCCUCCGAGACCCCUAGAUUUGGGAUUAUCCCUCUGAAUUUUAAUUAGACGCGCAGAAAAAGGGAAACAAAUACAUUAAACUGGAGGAAUUGCAAUGAUAUUUACGAGUUAGAAUUGAAAUAUACCUCAAAUCAAAACAGAUAACAUUGUCAAAUGGCAAGAGAUGAUGGCCGAAACAGGGCACGCAGGGAGGAAGACGAUACUAAUGGCAGAAAUGAGUCAUUGUAUGAGAAUGAUAGAGGUAGAGAACGGAUGAGAGAAGAUGUUGGAAGAUACAGAGAUAGAGGACAAAGAGAUGAUGAUCAAGCCAGAGGUGGUGGUCGAAGUUUUUCCAAUCGUCGUUAUAGGGAGGAAAAUGAUCGAAGCCAUAGAAAUGAUCGUGACAGACGAUAUGAUCAUGAUAGAGAACACCGGCAUAGGCGAAGGUCAAGGUCGGGUUCUCCUAGUCGAUCUUAUGAUCGUCGAGAACGACGGUCUAGAUCAGGUUCCCGAGAACGCAAAAGUAAACGGGCGAGUGGGUUUGAUUUGGCACCUGCUGGUGCUUAUGUUGCACCAACUACAUUGCUUACAGGCGAAGGUGCAGGCACAGGCAUGGGUCUCAUGCCCGGAAUUGGACAGGCUAUGCCAGGAGUAUUCACUUCAAUGUUUCCAUUUGCUGGUGGUACUCAAGCAACUAGACAUGCUCGAAGAGUAUAUGUUGGUGGAUUGCCUCCUACUGCCAAUGAACAGAGUGUUGCUGCAUAUUUUAGUCAGGUGAUGGCUGUAAUUGGAGGAAACACGGCUGGGCCAGGGGAUGCUGUUGUUAACGUCUACAUCAACCAGGAAAAGAGAUUUGCCUUUGUUGAAAUGCGUACAGCUGAAGAAGCCAGCAAUGCCAUGGCAUUGGAUGGAAUUGUUUAUGAGGGUGUACCUGUUCGCGUGAAGAGACCAAGUGAUUAUAAUCCAUUGCUUGCUGCUGCACUUGGACCAAGUCAACCAAGUUCUAAUCUCAACCUGGCUGCUGUGGGAUUGGUUGCUGGAUCAUCAAGUGUUGCAGAUGGACCUGAUCGUAUAUUUGUUGGAGGUUUGCCAUACUAUUUAACAGAAGAACAAAUUAUUGAUCUUCUUUCAUCGUUUGGACCAUUGGGUGCAUUUGAUCUCGUAAAGGAUCGUGAGACGGGAAACUCAAAAGGUUAUGGCUUCUGUGUCUACCAGGAUCCGGCAGUGAUUGAUAUUGCUUGUGCUGCUCUUAAUGGUUUGAAGAUGGGUGAUAGAACACUCACUGUCAGACGAGCUUCUGCAAGUGGCCAGCCUAAGCCUGAGCAGGCUGAUGUUUUGGUUCAUGCACAGCAACAAAUUGCUGUUCAGAAGCUAGCUCUACAAUUAAAUGGAGCAGCUAGUAUGUCUGGCAUGAUGUCGGGGUUGUUAACAGAAACUGAAAGCAAUGAACCAAUCAAUAGUUCUACAAAAGUAGUCCGUCUUUCUCAGGUCGUGGAACCUGAUGAUCUGAGGGAUGACAAUGAGUAUGAAGAGAUUUUGGAAGAUAUGCGUGAUGAGUGUGGAAAAUAUGGAACAUUGAUAAAUCUUGUUAUCCCUCGUCCUGGACCAUCUGAAAAUGAAGCUUCAUCUGGUGUGGGGAUGGUUUUUGUUGAGUAUUCUGAUGUUCAAGCAGCAGCAAAAGCCAUUUCAGCUCUUAAUGGGCGCAAAUUUGGUGGCAACGUUGUUCUUGCAACAUUCUAUUCUGAAGAGAAGUUUGAACAAGGAGACUAUGGAGGCUGAAAGACACCAAUUUUGUUGAUCAGUAGCAUUAGCCUGGGACCAUGCUGAAUGUGUUUUUCCCUGUGUAAAUUCUUCUAUUGCAUUGGGUCAUUUGGGUUUGGCCACACAAGAUAUGUAUCGUUUAUGUAGGCAAUAUUGUUCUUGCAACAUUCUAUCCUGAAGAGAAGUUCAAUCGAGGAGAUUAUGGAGGCUGAUACAUGCCAAUUCUGUCAAUCAGUAACAUUAACCUGAGAUUAUGUGAAAAUAUAUUCUCUCACUUCGUAGCACUUCAUGUUCACUCGGCUGAAUAUCUGCUGGCUUCGGAAAGAGUACCAGCAAACAUCAAUUCUUGUCCGAAGAUAAAAUUUUGAGAUAGCAUAAUUUAUUGAACCUACUGCACCCUACUUCUUGGCUACUAAUAACAGCAGGCAAAAUCAAGUCUUGGAAGUCAACUUAAUGUCUGAGGUAAAAGCUUUUUAGCAUGGCUAGCUUGAAUCAAGUAGAAGCCUUAUCUAUUUGUAUGGGAUUGGUGAUGAAUGAAAUGCAAUAUUCUGUUGUAAUUGUACUUAAUUUAACAUCAGAGAUGCGUAAGUAUGUAUUGUGUGUCAUAGCAAUAUGAGUCGUCUUUUGGAUUGA